AGUCACUGACAUUAGAUACCCGGGUAGUCCCAGCCGUAAACAAUGUGCGUUAGGUGUGUCGGUAACCACGCGUUACUGAUGCGCCGAAGAGAAAUCGUGAAACGCACCACCUGGGAAGUACGGUCGCAAGGCUGAAACUUAAAGGAAUUGGCGGGGAGCACCACAACAGGUGGAGCCUGCGGUUUAAUUGGAUUCAACGCCGGACAUCUCACCGGAUAAGACAGCUGAAUGAUUGUCAAUCUGAAGGUUUUACAUGACUGGCUG
rnacentral:rRNA from 1 species